rnacentral:rRNA from 1 species
UACUGGCUCAGGACGAACGCUGGCGGCGUGCCUAACACAUGCAAGUCGAGCGAUGAAGUUCUUCGGAACGGAUUAGCGGCGGACGGGUGAGUAACACGUGGGUAACCUGCCUUGUAGAGGGGGAUAGCCUUCCGAAAGGAAGAUUAAUACCGCAUAAUAUCUUUUUUAUCGCAUGGUAGAAAGAUCAAAGGAGCAAUCCGCUACAAGAUGGACCCGCGGCGCAUUAGCUAGUUGGUGAGGUAACGGCUCACCAAGGCGACGAUGCGUAGCCGACCUGAGAGGGUGAUCGGCCACAUUGGAACUGAGACACGGUCCAGACUCCUACGGGAGGCAGCAGUGGGGAAUAUUGCGCAAUGGGGGAAACCCUGACGCAGCAACGCCGCGUGAAUGAAGAAGGCCUUAGGGUUGUAAAGUUCUGUUUACGGGGACGAUAAUGACGGUACCCGUGGAGGAAGCCACGGCUAACUACGUGCCAGCAGCAGC